AUUAACGCGAUGAUAGGAAAUAGUAGCGUGAUCUUCUUUUCUUAGAGAGUCAGUGGGUGGUGGAAACUGACAAAAGAGAUGCGUGAAUCCAUCCUUGAGUGCCUGACUGAAACCAAUCAGUAUGUCGGGCCGGCCCUCACCGUUAUGAGUUAAGCCGGAAGAUCAGUAUGUGAUCUUCAACCUGGGUGGUAUCGCGGGAAGCUAUAAAACCAAAGCUCUCGUCCCUUUU
rnacentral:ncRNA from 1 species